UCAUGGAGAGGUUGUUUUGACACUAGUAAAAAUCUCCAGCAUAGCCACGGUAGUGCCACUCCAAAACCGUGACUAUAUAAAAAACGCCACGGUUUCGCUAUGGACUAGCCACGAUUUCAAAUUAGCCACGAUAAAACUAAGUAGCCACAACAACAGCCACUAAGAUUUUCGUGACUAGGUAACAAACCACGGUAUUGCCACUAAUAUUUUCAUGUCUAUGUACAUAGCCACGGUAUAGCCACUGUUUCAACGUGGCUUUUAUAAAAUAGCCACAAUUUUGCCAUGAACUUUCCAUGGCUAUUUGAAACCCUAAUCCCUAAACAUAUUUUUAAACUCUAAACCCUAAAUAUAAACAUUAAGACUCCAAUAUUUUCAUAAUAAAACUUCAUUAUUAAAUUAAACCUCAAAUUUUAAUCAUUUUUUUUAUCUCAAAUAUUUAAGCUCCAUUUAAAAUCCUAAUCUUAACCUUAAACUAUACAUUCUUUAAUCCUAUGUUUUAAAAACAAAUUCCAAUUAUAACAUUUUAAACUUAAACUUUAAAUCUUAAAUAUAAAACUAUAAACUUAACUUUUCAAAACUUUUUGGCAAACCAUAUAUCAUAUAAACUAAAAUCCUAUAUCAUACUUCAAACCCUAAAUCUGAAGCUCAAACCUUACAUACAACCAUAAACUCUUACAUUUAAUCUUAACAUUUAAAUUUAAGCCUUAACAUUUAAACUCAAUUCCUAUUUCUCAAACUACAAAUUCUAUAUUAAAAUAUAAUAUUAAAUCAUUAAACAAUAUAUCUUAUAUCUAACCAUCAUUCCCUAUACAUUUUCUAAACAUUAAACGCUAGCCAUUUUUUAUAAAAUAAAUUAUCAAAGUAUAUGACGAAUUAUACACUGUUUUUAAAAGUAUAAACUUUUUUAUAGAAAAAUUAUACACAUUAAUAAAAACUAAACAACAAUAGAAAUGGACAACAUAAAUAAAACACACAGAUUUUUUUAUUUUUUUUAUUUUUUCUUUUCUCCUUACCUCUCUUUUCUCAACCAAUAAGAAGGAGUUGGGUGGAUUGAUAAUUUUAACCAUUAGAUUAAAAUUAUGAAGGGUCCAGAUUAAAAUCUUUUUGUGUUUCUUUCUUCUUCUUUUUUUCUCUUUUCCGCUCUCCUUCGUCUGAUCUUUCUUCUUUCAUUCUAUCUCUUUCUCUGUAACGAUCUACUCAUGUAUUCACCUCCUCACCAUCACCACCGGUCGACCUCUCUUUGUCUUCCUCUUCUCUGGCUUCACCUUCGCUAUUUCUAGUUGAUAUGUUUUGUUUUGUUUAUAGAUCUGAGAAGGAGCAGUGAUGAACCUUCAAGGAGAACGUGGGUGACGGAGACGACGGUGUGACGGUAAAAUUCUUCAUCGAUCAAUGCAAAUCUGACCCUUCACUUCCGCUAGUAUCUCAAGAGGCACAAGGUGAAUCUGACGAUGAAGGGAAGGAGAGGUGGUGGUGUGGGAAGAUGAUGAAACGGAAAAGAGAAGUGGUGGUGUGACAGUGCGGCGCCUCCGGUGAAGCGUAGUGCGGCGGUAGUGUAUUUGUAUGUAUAUACGUAUUUAUGUAUAUAUAUAUAUAACAAUAAUGUGUAUUUUUUGUUUUAGUAUUAAUUAAUAAAAAUUAUUUGUUUGUUUUUA